GAGGGUAUAGCUGAGUGGUAGAGCACGUACCUAGCACGCACAGGGUCCUGGGUUCAAUGCCCAGCACCUCCA
rnacentral:tRNA from 1 species